ensembl:lncRNA
GUAGACUGUGUUUUACAGAGGACAGAGUAUUGAUGACAGUAGGCUGUUUGUUUUGCAGAGGACAGAGUAUUGAUGACAGUAGGCUGUUUGUUUUACAGAGGACAGAGUAUUGAUGACAGUAGGCUGUUUGUUUUACAGAGGACAGAGUACUGAUGACAGUAGGCUGUUUGUUUUACAGAGGACAGAGUAUUGAUGACAGUAGACUGUGUUUUACAGAGGACAGAGUACUGAUGACAGUAGGCUGUGUGUUUUACAGAGGACAGAAGCCAGAGAAUAGAAAGGACUGGCAGCUCCCAGGUGGCUUCAGACACACUCGCUUCUUCUAAAGAAAUGAACAUGUUUUCCUCAACGAGAGGAGGGGAAGUUGGGAGGAGUACUGAGUGACAUAGGAAGGAUGUUCUUCAGUGUGUUGUCAUCUCUGUGAAGAAGGCCACACGUCACAGUUGGUUCUCAAUGCUGCCACUGCUGUCCGUGUUCUGGAUUCCACCAGCAAUCCAAUGUAAGGAAACGUCGCCUCCUUCCUUUAGUGACACCAUGUUCAAGUGGAUCAUGAGAGUGUGUAUGUGAAGACUGUGCUUUCAGGGUUGUUUUUGUUGAGUUACCUGAAUAGAUUUUGACUAAACGUGCUGCCUGUUCACAUCAAAUGUUCCAAAUGAGCAGCUACGCUCCUUCCCAUGUUGUCCCCGAACCGUCAGCAGUGAGCCUGGGUUGAUUUAUAACGGGCUUAUCUAGCUCAGAUACAGGGAACUGAACAAGCUGGGCAGGCUGCUGCCUGUUUGAAUUGCCAGCCUGCCUGUGCCUGCCGAGCGCUCGCUGCUAUUUAGGUUGUGAAACUUGGUAGAAAAACCCUGAUUGUGUGAUGCUCUAGUUUACAUCUUGACAGGAUAUCACAAUGUUUUCCUUCAUGUCUCACAUGUAGUCUAGAGAUAGUGUCUUUAUGUCCUCUACAUGUAGUCUAGAUGUGUGUCUUUAUGUCCUCUCAUGUAGUCUAGAUGAUAGUGUCUUUAUGUCUCUACAUAGUCUAGAUAGUGUCUUUAUUCCUCUACAUGUAGUCUAGAUGAUAGUGUCUUAUGUCCUACAUGUAGUCUAGAUGAUAGUUUUUAUGUCCUCUACAUGUAGUCUCGAUGAUAGGUCUUAUUCCCUACAGUAGUCUAGUGAUAGUGUCUUAUGUCCUCUACAUGUAGUCUAGAUGAUAGUGUCUUUAUGUCCUCUAUAUUAGUCUAGUGAUAGGUCUUUAUGUCCUCUACAUGUAGUCUAGAUGAUGUGUUUCUUUAUGUCCCUAUAUGUAGUCUAGAUGAUAGUGUCUUUAUGUCCUCUACAUGUAGUCUAGUUAUGUGUCUUAUGUCCUCUAUGUAGUCUAGUGAUAGUGUCUUAUGUCCUCUACAUGUAGUCUAGAUGAUAUGUCUUAUGUCCUCUACAUGUAGUCUAGAUGAUAGGUUUUCUGUGAUGUCUACUGUUUUUACUGGAGUCUUGGAUUUGUUAGACUGAGCAUGAAUGGAUGAACAAACUCGACUGAAAUGAAAUAAAACUCUAUUAUUCUCCUGUUGAGUGAUCUGUUGUCUGUGUGGUU